GACGAACGCUGGCGGCGUGCUUAACACAUGCAAGUCGAACGGAAAGGCCCUGCUUUUGUGGGGUGCUCGAGUGGCGAACGGGUGAGUAACACGUGAGUAACCUGCCCUUGACUUUGGGAUAACUUCAGGAAACUGGGGCUAAUACCGGAUAGGAGCUCCUGCUGCAUGGUGGGGGUUGGAAAGUUUCGGCGGUUGGGGAUGGAUUCGCGGCUUAUCCGCUUGUUGGUGGGGUAGUGGCUUACCAAGGCUUUGACGGGUAGCCGGCCUGAGAGGGUGACCGGCCACAUUGGGCCUGAGAGACGGCCCAGACUCCUACGGGAGGCAGCAGUGGGGAAUAUUGCACAAUGGGCGGAAGCCUGAUGCAGCAACGCCGCGUGCGGGAUGACGGCCUUCGGGUUGUAAACCGCUUUCGCCUGUGACGAAGCGUGAGUGACGGUAAUGGGUAAAGAAGCACCGGCUAACUACGUG
rnacentral:rRNA from 1 species